rnacentral:tRNA from 1 species
GCCCAGAUGGCGGAAUUGGCAGACGCGCGACACUUAAAAUGUCGUGAGGGUAAUACCUCGUGUGGGUUCGACCCCCUCUCUGGGCA